GACGAACGCUGGCGGCGUGCUUAACACAUGCAAGUCGAGCGGUAAGGCCCUUUCGGGGGUACACGAGCGGCGAACGGGUGAGUAACACGUGGGUGACCUGCCCUCAGCUCUGGGAUAAGCCUGGGAAACCGGGUCUAAUACUGGAUAUGACUCCAUGACGCAUGUUGUGGGGUGGAAAGCCUUGUGCGGCUGAGGAUGGGCCCGCGGCCUAUCAGCUUGUUGGUGGGGUGANGGCCUACCAAGGCGACGACGGGUAGCCGGCCUGAGAGGGCGACCGGCCACACUGGGACUGAGACACGGCCCAGACUCCUACGGGAGGCAGCAGUGGGGAAUCUUGCGCAAGUGGGACGAAAGCCUGACGCAGCGACGCCGCGU
rnacentral:rRNA from 1 species